ensembl:lncRNA
CAGGAAGAUACAGCCAAACUCAAUAUGGCGUCCACACGUGUAUCGGGACUUCUUUCCACUAAUGAGAAGGUAUGAUAUUUUAAGGAUUAGCGCUGAUUCAAUUCACAGUGUGUGCAAAAAGAUAGGACAGUUAUGACACACUCCUGCAAAACUUGUUGGUGAAACAGAUGAGCACAGACAUUCAAAGUAUUUAACCAUCUUAGUCACACACGCACACGCACACACCCACACGUGUGGGGGUGUGUGUGUGUUGUGUUUUUGUGUGUACUGUCCACACUAUUUUGAAUAUAAAACUCGAUUUGUUCCAUUUGGUUUACAGUAGCAUUCACUUUGCAUGUUAAAGGUCUUAUUUUAACUUCGAAUUGUGAGAUGUUUGUUCUCCUCACGGCCCAAUUGAAAGUGAAACUGCCAUAGAUUCAAUGAUCACAGAGGUUUCAGAUCAGAGUUUUUCUCCAUCCACUUUUCUGAAGUAGUAGCUUCCAGGAUGAAUCAUUUGGUCUGCUUACUAUUGUAAUGUAUAACUCCUCUAUACUGUACCACUCAAUCACCACUGAUGCCCUUAUAGUCCGUCUGGUAAACACAGCAAAGAAUCUUGAUGUGAAUCUAGACGAUGAGCUAGAUAACACAGAAGUCAGAAAAUGACUUAGACAUCUAAGACAAAAUGAGUAUUAACAAGUUUAGGGUGCCUAAGACUUUUGAAUAGUACUGUAGAGUAUGUGAGGGGGCAUGGUGGCUUAGUGGGUACCCCUCCAGAGUUGGGGGUUCGAAUCCUGACUCUGCCCUGUGUGUGCGGAGUUUACAUGUUCUCAACAUGCUUCGGGGGUUUCCUCCAGUUUCCUCCCCCAGUCCAAAGACAUCAGUUGUAGGUUGAUUGGUAUUUCUAAAUUGUCUGUAGUGCAUGAAUGUGUGUGUGUGUGUGUGUGUGAUUGUGCCCUGUGAUGGGUUGGUAGCCCGAGUUCCCUUGGAUAGGCUCCAGGCUCCCUGUAACCCUGUGUAGGAUAAGCAGUAUGGAAAACGGAUGGAUGGAUGGAGGGAUGUACAGUAUAUGAGCAAUUUAUUUUGUAAGGCAAUGCUGCCACUCUUGCAGUGGAAUUUAAUCAAUGGACACCUCUUUUCAACAUCUGAGCUGUCUGUUAUUGUGAACGCUGUGUGACCAAGACAAUACGACCGGAAGUAUCCGCUGUACUGCCGAUUGUUUACAAUGUUCCCUAUGUAGUUAAGUUUACUAUUAAUAACUUCAGGAAUGAUUACUUCACAGUUCGUACACUUUGAGGGAACACAACAGGUCAUCAUGGGGCUAUAAUGAGUAAUACUCAAAACACACACUCACAAUGAUGCGUAUUACGUAUUUCCUGCUCACGUACCAGGAAGAUACAACUAAACUCAAUAUGGCGUCCACAUGUGUAUCGGGAUUUUUUUCCACAAAUGAGAAGGUAUGAUAUUUUAAGGAUUAGCACUGAUUCAAUUCACUGUGUUUGCAAAAAUAUAGGACAGUUAUGACACAAUCUUGCAAAAAAUUUUAGCGAAAUAGAUGAGCACAGACUUUCGAAAUUUUUUACCAUCUUAGUCACACACGCACAGACCCACACGUGUGGGUGUGUGUCUGUUGUGGUUUUCUGUGUACUGACCAAAUUAUUUUGAAUAUGAAACUUCCUCUUGCUUUACUGUAGUGUUCACUUUACAUGUUAAAAGGUCUUAUUUUAUCUUUGAAUACCAAGAUGUUUUUUUCGCCUCAGGAUCUAAUUCCGGUUAAUUUUCCACGUAAUGUAUAUAAAUUACACAUCCCUCACCUCCACAUUAUGGAACAAACUAAUGAGAAGUAAACAUACCAUCACACUAUAUUUUCAGAUUAGUUUUAGAUCUCUGCAAUCAUGUAACUUAAUGUAACACCAGUCAGGAUACCAGGGAAUUGCACAUUCUUGGGUUAAUCACAGUAAAUCACAGUUUGCAUAAUGGCUUAUGAUCACAGUACUGUUAAAAUUCUCAAAAUUGCUUGGUGUUCUGGCUACAAGGCAUCAUUUAAUGUCAGUAUUGUCAAAGUGCUGUGGUAAAAGGAAUAAAUCAGUUUGGGACUUUGGAAAAUAAUCAACUUCAGGGUGGUAACACAUCACACCAAACCAUCAUGUUUUAUUCCUUGCAUAUAUUACGUGUACUAAUCAUAGGUCAUGAAACAUGUCUAAAACCAUACAGAGAAAGUCAUUUCAUUUUAAUAUAACCAUAUGAAAACGUUACUAAUUCAGAUUGCAGAACUACAAUAUAAAUCUAUAACUCACUGAGCAACUAUUAGAGUCUGAAAUAUUUAAUUGUUGUGUUUGUCUCUCUCUGUAAAUAGCUAAAAAUAGCAUGUGUAUUAGCAUUACUGUCGAAAAGUCUUCGGCACCCAUUCACCCAUUUAUUCCAAUCAUUUAUUUUGCACAAAAAAAAGGUCCAUCACGUUAAAUGUUAUACCAUUAAAGAAAGGCAGAUGUUAAGUAAUAAAUCAACUGUACAGAAAUCCCAGUGUCUUUUGUGUGCUUUCUCUUUCAGAUUCCUGUACAAUGUAUGGAUGACCCCUUUGGGUUCAAAGCUGAGGUGAUUUAUGGAGAUGAGUCCAUUCCUCUGUAUCGGUGUACCCCAUUUCUCACCGUCCAUAGUAGGCAGCACAUGCCCACUGUCUACGGCAAUGAAAGCUCUGGUGCUGAAGUUGAGGAUACCCACAUCUUUGAAUCACUUCAUACAGCUGAAUCAAGACAUCAAAUGCAGGACAUGUCAAGUGCUGAUGACCGUAGACAACCUAAUGCCAGACCACGUCCUGUCUGGCCCGAGGACACUGAUGCUCACUACAGUCGCAAUCAUCUAACCUUUACUGAUGGUGGCUUUCCACUAACCAUGGCUAUGGGUGGAAUGGGAAACUACAAGCCUCAGCAGAUAGAGAGUCUUGUACUGCCGGAGGAGGAAGAAUGGGACAAGAAUCCAAGAACAAGGAUGAAAAAAGGGGGGAAAAGAGGAGGGAAAAAAUCCCGUAGAAAGCAACGGCAAUAUUGACGAAAUAUGGAAAAUGCACUUAAUGCACUUGUAUAAUGCAUUAAUACUUUAACUAGCUUUUUCUAUAGUGUAGACUAUGCUGUUCCUUUAUAGUCCAAACUUUAUAGUCCAGAGUCGUUUAUGUGCAUUUCUUCUGUGUCUUUUUUAUGUAUGUAAACUGCACAAAAUAGAGAUCAGAUGACGCAACAAACUGCAAACAAAAUUGACUUGAAAAAGACUGGUGUAGGUUCUCAUCUACCAGAAUAUACCUGUACUCCAGCAGAAGAAACCAGUACUGCCCUUCAUAGUGUGGUCCAGGGUGCUCAAUACUCUUAACCAUGUCUCUGGCAACGCCAUCCAUUUAACUCAAAUGUUUGUGUUUGGUGGAUGAGAAUAACUGUGCUAAAUGUACCUUUUCAAUCACACACAAGAUUCCAUUUGCUGAGCAAGUAUUAAACAAGGCUAGUGUAAUGAACAUGCAACAGAAAGGAGAUCAUUCUAGAAACUUCACUUAAAAAAAACCAAGGUAACCAAAAUUCUCAUUUCUCAAGAUACAGAGUCAACAGUUUCUAUUAAACUGUCAGAGUCAGUCAUUCCUAUAACAUUCUUAUUGUCAUUUCUUUGCAUACUUGUUCAUUUCAAGUUUAUGUUCAAGUGCUCCAUAGAUUUCAAUAGUGCAUUUGCUAGCGACAUUGCUGUAUUUGCAAUCUGUAUUGCUGACAUCUGUUACCUAAGCAAAUAAAACAACAGCACUUGACAACAAGGACUGAAUAAAACAAAAGAAAGGAUUCCCCCAAGGGGAAACACUGAGAAAAAGAUGACAAGGAUGUGUUAAAAAGAAUACUGAAACUCACCCAUUAGCCAUAACCAUAGUAGUUGAAGUCUUGUAGUUGCAUCUUGUGAUUUCCUG